rnacentral:rRNA from 2 species
AAUCCAUAGGUUAAUGAGGCGAACCGGGGGAACUGAAACAUCUAAGUACCCCGAGGAAAAGAAAUCAACCGAGAUUCCCCCAGUAGCGGCGAGCGAACGGGGAGGAGCCCAGAGCCUGAAUCAGCAUGUGUGUUAGUGGAAGCGUCUGGAAAGGCGCGCGAUACAGGGUGACAGCCCCGUACACAAAAGCGCAUGUGCUGUGAGCUCGAUGAGUAGGGCGGGACACGUGGUAUCCUGUCUGAAUAUGGGGGGACCAUCCUCCAAGGCUAAAUACUCCUGACUGACCGAUAGUGAACCAGUACCGUGAGGGAAAGGCGAAAAGAACCCCGGCGAGGGGAGUGAAAAAGAACCUGAAACCGUGUACGUACAAGCAGUGGGAGCACAGGUUU